rnacentral:rRNA from 1 species
UACGUAGGGUGCGAGCGUUGUCCGGAAUUACUGGGCGUAAAGAGCUCGUAGGUGGUUUGUCGCGUUGUUCGUGAAAACUCACAGCUUAACUGUGGGCGUGCGGGCGAUACGGGCAGACUGGAGUACUGCAGGGGAGACUGGAAUUCCUGGUGUAGCGGUGAAAUGCGCAGAUAUCAGGAGGAACACCGGUGGCGAAGGCGGAUCUCUGGGCCUUACCUGACGCUCAGGUGCGAAAGCUAGGGGAGCGAACAGG